rnacentral:rRNA from 1 species
UACGUAGGGCGCAAGCGUUGUCCGGAAUUAUUGGGCGUAAAGAGCUCGUAGGCGGCCUGUUGCGUCCGCUGUGAAAUCCCGGGGCUCAACCCCGGGCCUGCAGUGGAUACGGGCUGGCUAGAGGCAGGCAGGGGAGAACGGAAUUCCUGGUGUAGCGGUGAAAUGCGCAGAUAUCAGGAGGAACACCGGUGGCGAAGGCGGCUCUCUGGAACGCAACUGACGCUGAGACGCGAAAGCGUGGGGAGCAAACAGG